AGUGAGGUUGCUAGAGAAAGAUUAAAGAAUCAGUAGACAAGAGGAGAUGAAGCCAUAAGAAGCUUCAUUAGCACUUGGUUCCAGAUGAGCAAAGAUGAAGUGGACACUUGCAUACAACCUAGUGGUCACUUUGAUCAUUACUAGCCAAACACAACCUCAAAAGUCAAGCUCAAUGACUAUAACAAAGCGCUGAGUGGGAGGCAACCCACUAUUAGGUAACUUUAUCACUACAAGGGGAGGGGGCAAAGAAAGCAUAAGAAGAUAGUGUUCUGGUCAAAAAUGCUAUCUUUGACAUAACUCAUUAUUUAAGAUAGCGUUUUUUUACAUCGAUGCUAUAAAAAACCGCAUAUAUAAUAUCCUUCUAUGUUAAAACGCUAUCUUUUCUCUCUUACCCUAAUUUCAUUUUCCCUCUCACUUUAUUUCACUUGCCUCCAAAUAUAAACAUAACAAUUAUUCUAUAAAUAUUUAUACAUAAAAAGAAAAAAAAAAUCUGUUGGUUGAAAGGAAUACACAAGGAUUGCAAUCUCUACCCUUAAUUUUUUUAAUCCAAAGGUGGAGAUUGUGUUUUGUCCUCUCCUUUUGUCUUCUCAAACACGACAGAUCUGAGUUCAGAAGAAAAAAAAACGUCAGAGAGAGAUGAGAGAUUGCAUGAGGAAGAAGAAGAUACCGGUCUUUUUCUCUUCUCAUCUCAACUCUUCCUCUGAUCCUCUCCAUUCUUUUUCUGAAACACGACAGAGAGAUAAAAGAUAAGAGAUAAUACAGAGAGAUGAGAGAUUGAGAUUACAGGAGGAAAAAUAAAAGACCGGUCUGAGUUUGUCACCGUCGUCACCUCCCGAGAACGCCUCUCCCCUCUGCAGCCGAAUUCGAACCCAGCGGUACCCAGAACAACAACCCAUCACCGCUCAAAGACAACAAUGGUGAGAUUCACUCCCUGUCAUCAACCCAUGUUUUCGAUUAGGGUUUCCAUUUGUUUCAGUUUUAGGGUUUGGAUUGGGGCGUUUGCAAUUAGGGUUUUGAUUUGUUUCAGGUUUAGUGUUUUGAUUGGGGCUUUUGCGAUUAGGAUUCGAUUUGUUACAGUGUUUAUGUAUCUAGAUCUGUUACAGAGAAGCUUGAGUGAUAACGACUACAACGAAAUGGUGGUGGUGGUGUACGGAGAGAAGACAGAUAUCUCGGUUUGGUCGGCGUGAAUCCUCUUUGGUCUCUUCAGCUUCGUGAAGAACAGAUGGAGGCUCGCCGGUCCCAAAUAACUGUGUGCGGCGAAGGAAGCUUCACUUAGGUCUUCUCAGUGAUCUUAAACGCUUUCCGUUGACAAUGCCAUGUUUCCUUAGCUAGGAAAGUUAACUGGAACCACAUCCACGACAAGAAGCAGAUCUUAAGUGAUGUGGAGGAGAUCACAUUAGAAGGAAGACAGAUGAGACAGAGAGAAGACAUAUGCGAUUGAUGAGUUUUGUGAUGUUUCAGGGAUUGAUGAAGAAGUUGACGAACUUCCAAAGAAAAUGGUCGAUCAUGAUUACGUGGAGUAUAACAACUCUUCCAUAACGAGUUCCUGUCAGGCUCAUUCUCCAUGGCUCUCUGCUUAACAUCAUUUCCCCUUUAUAAGUCUGGUGCAAGAAGCUUGACGUCAGAGGAGGCAAGGUGUCGUGCUGUGGGGAUGUGAAUCGUGGUGUGGUGCGGCACUAGGAGAUAGAUCUUUAGGUUCUGAAAUUUUAGGUGUAGCUUUGGAAGGUGAAGAACACUUGGCAUCAGAUAGAUCUUCAAGACACUUGUACUCCACUAUUAUCAUCUUGGUGGUCAUGGCGAUGAUAGUGAACACUCAGCUUUAGGUUUAUGUUUUUGGUUUAGCUAUAGGUUUAUGUUUUGGUUUAGUUAUGGUUUAGAUUUUUGGUUUUGUUUUUGGUUAUUUAGUAAACAAUUUAGAUAUAUACAAUUUUAAAGUAUUUUUUUAUUUUCUAUCUACACUAUCACAUCAAUUAUUA